rnacentral:rRNA from 1 species
GACGAACGCUGGCGGCGUGCCUAAUACAUGCAAGUAGGACGCAGUUGCGAACGGGUGAGUAACGCGUAGGUAACUGCCUAUUAGAGGGGGAUAACUAUUGGAAACGAUAGCUAAUACCGCAUACUAGUAGAUGGACCUGCGUUGUAUUAGCUAGUAGGUAGGGUACUGGCCUACCUAGGCGACGAUACAUAGCCGACGUGAGAUGGGGAGCGGGCAACCCGGGACUGAGAAACGGCCCAGACUCCUACGGGAGGCAGCAGUAGGGAAUCAUGGGCAAUGGGGGGAACCCUGACCGAGCAACGCCGCGUGAGUGAAGAAGGUUUUUGGAUCGGAAAGCUCUGUUGUUAAGGAAGCGGUACUUAACCAGAAAGGGACGGCUAACUACGUGCCAGCAGCCGCGGUAAUAC